rnacentral:tRNA from 1 species
GUUUUAAUAAUUUAACAAAAAUAUUGGUCUUGUAAACCAAAUAUAAGGGAUAACCUUUUAAAGCU